rnacentral:piRNA from 1 species
UCCAAUGUAGUAAAGGAUGCACACACUGA